rfam:Schistosoma mansoni, Puerto Rico, WGS project CABG01000000 data, contig: 0010
GCACUGCUGAUGAGUCCCACAAUAGGACAAAACGGCCGUCCAGUGC